UGAGACAGGUGAGGGUGAGACAGGUAGAGGGUGAGACAGGCUCUCAGGUGAAGAUGAGGCCGGCCUCGCUGUAGAGGGUGAGACAGGUAGCGGAGGGUGAGACAGGUCUCAGGUGAAGAUGAGGCCGGCCUCGCUGUAGAGGGUGAGACAGGUGAGGGUGAGACAGGUAGAGGGUGAGACAGGUACAGGGUGAGACAGGCUCUCAGGUGAAGAUGAGGCCGGCCUCGCUGUAGAGGGUGAGACAGGUGAGGGUGAGACAGGUAGCGGAGGGUGAGACAGGUCUCAGGUGAAGAUGAGGCCGGCCUCGCUGUAGACUCUGAACACCUUCUCGAUGGCGUUGACGUAGGCGGCCGUCCU